rnacentral:misc_RNA from 1 species
GAUGAAGAACGCAGUGAAAUGCGAUAAGUAAUGUGAAUUGCAGAAUUCAGUGAAUCAUCGAAUCUUUGAACGCACAUUGCGCCCGCCAGUAUUCUGGCGGGCAUGCCUGUCCGAGCGUCAUUUCAACCCUCGAACCCCUCCGGGGGGUCGGCGUUGGGGAUCGGCCCUUUACCGGCCGGCCCCGAAAUACAGUGGCGGUCUCGCCGCAGCCUCUCCUGCGCAGUAGUUUGCACACUCGCACCGGGAGCGCGGCGCAGUCCAAUGCCGUAAAACACCCAACUUUCUGAAAUGUUGACCUCGGAUCAGGGAGGAAUACCCGCUGAACUUAAGCAUAUCAAUAAGCGGAGGA